rnacentral:lncRNA from 1 species
GAGGCCAUUAGAGAAGACCAGGUUUGAUUCCUGUGACUCUAUGGUAGCCAAGUUAACUUAUGAUAUGCUGACCCUUACAGAGUGGGUUCUAUGCUGCAGAACGCAUAGGGUAUGGAGGUUACUUGGUAGAGUAUCACUGGUGUAUUAUAGAUAGCCUGAGGGCUAGCUCAGAUUAGUAUAUCUGAGUAUUAUGGUUCAUAUGCAUGGACCUUCAGAAAGUGUUGUAAAG